rnacentral:tRNA from 14 species
UCCUUGCUGGUGGGGAUGCCGGACUUCAAGCCCUUACGAC